rnacentral:rRNA from 1 species
AUGAGGGCACAGCUCGCUCCGGCCCUCCUCCUCCUCCUCCUCACGGUUGCCGCCGCGCCGCCCGUAUCGGCGAUGACUGCUGAGGAGGAAACCAAGGAGAAAUUGCUACAGGGCGCCCACAAAGAGGACCUCGCCAAUAAACUCAGUAUCGCGAGUGUCGACCCAGACGCUUAUGCAGCCGAGCAGAAAUUAGUUGGGCCCGAUAGCAAGAAGCAUGCCGCUAAGGAUGUCGUCGAUAACACAAGCUAUAUUAUGGGUGUUGUGCCUGAGAAGAAACCUGAAAGUAAGAGUGACGAGAAGAAACUCAAGGAGGAGGCCAAGGUCAUCGCUCAAGUCAAAGGACAGAUGAACUACGAGGAUGCCGUCGCUGAGAAGAAUGCCAAGGAGGAGAAGAAAUCCAAACUCAAGGGUGACAUCUCCGAGGACGAUGAUGCUGAGAAGAAGGAGAAGAAAUCAAAAAACAAAGACGGCGACAAGGAGGAGGACAAAGAGAAGAAAUCUAAAAAUAAGGAUGAUGACGAUGCUGAGAAAAAGGAGAAGAAUUCCAAAAGCAAAGACGAGGACUCUAUAUAUGACACCAAGCAGAAAUCCAAAAACAAGGAUGAUGAUGAUGAUGAUGAUGAUGAGAAGAAAGAUAAGAAGUCUAAAAGCAAGGACGAUGAUGAUGACGACAAUGAUGGUGAGAAAAAAGAGAAGAAAUUGAAAAACAAGGAUGACGACGAUGAUGAUGAGAAGAAAGAAAAGAAAUUGAAAAACAAGGAUGAUGACGAUAAUGAGAAAAAGAAAGAGAAGAAAUCCAAAGAGAAAAGCGACUCGUCUGAGGAGGAUGACGCCGAGAAGAAAUCUAAAAGCAAGAGCGAGUCCUACGAGGACGACGAUGACAAUAAGAAUUCCAAAAGCAAAAGCAAGGCAUCAGACGAGGAUUUUGAUGCUGUCCCCAUGGAGGCCAAGGCCGACGAAUCUAUGCCAGGUGUCGACACGCCCGAUGAAUACCAAGCGUCGACGACUAAAGCCAAGCCACGGUUGCCCGCGGCUGACACCCCCGGUGGCUACACCGCGCGGACCGCGGCCCAACCAAAGAUGUCUGCAGCAGACACUCCCGACGGCUAUGCCACCCUGACAACGCAGAUGUCAGCUACUAACACACCAGACGGCUAUGUCACGCCGAGCAAGGCCCAGCCAGCGACAGACUCACCCAACGGCAACGUCCCUGCGACCGACUCACCCGACGGCAACGUCCCGGCGACAGACUCACCCGACGGCAACGUCCCCACGACCGACUCGCCCGACGGCAACGUCCCGGCGAUGGACUCGCCCGACGGCAAUGUUCAGGUGACCGACUCGCCCGAUGGCAAUGUCCCAGCGACCGACUCGCCCGACGGCUACGCGGCCCCGACGAAGCCCGAUGUGGACGUGCAGUCCUACUCGGAGACGGUGCCCCCGCCGGUGCUCCGGAUGCUGAGCCCGUUGGUGAAGUCCAUGUGCGCCAGGACGAGCUACCCGUACGAGUGUGAGGCAUCGAUCGCCAGGCUGCCGGAGACGGCGGCGGUGCCAGGGCGGCAGAAGAACCUCUUGGGCGUGCUGACACUGGCCAUAGAUGCCGUGCGCGCCAAGAUCGUGGAGGCGAAGAACGCGGCCACGGACGUGUCCAAGGACCCGCACGUGGACAAGCUCUCCAAGGGCGCCAUCAAAGACUGCAUCAGUAAUUACGACGACAUGAACUACGAGUUCGACUCGGCGCUGACCGCGCUCAAGCGAGGAGACAAGGGGACGGCGGGCAGCGCGCUCGACGCGGCGCGCACCGCUGUUGACACCUGCGACGAAGGUUUCCUCGACCGCCCGCAGCUGAAGCCAGUCCUGGGCGGUUACGAGAAGGUGCUCGCGGAGCUCUCAAGCAACGUCCUCGCCAUUAAUGCCAACGCCAAGAAGUAUUAG